UACGAACUGUGCGAACGUUAUUCGGAAUCACUGGGCUUACAGGGUGCGUAGGCGGCUCAUCAAGUCAGGUGUGAAAGCCCCCGGCUCAACCGGGGAACUGCGCUUGAAACUGUUAGGCUCGAGUCAGCUAGAGGUACACGGAACUUCCAGUGGAGCGGUGAAAUGUGUUGAUAUUGGAAGGAACACCGGAGGCGAAAGCGGUGUACUGGGGCUGGUCUGACGCUGAGGCACGAAAGCCAGGGGAGCGAACGGG
rnacentral:rRNA from 1 species